rnacentral:rRNA from 1 species
AGAGUUUGAUCCUGGCUCAGAACGAACGCUGGCGGCAGGCCUAACACAUGCAAGUCGAGCGGUAACAGGCGUAGCAAUACGUGCUGACGAGCGGCGAACGGGUGAGUAAUGCAUCGGAACGUGUCCUCUUGUGGGGGAUAACCAGUCGAAAGACUGGCUAAUACCGCAUGAGCUCGAGAGAGGAAAGCGGGGGACCGUAAGGCCUCGCGCGAUUGGAGCGGCCGAUAUCAGAUUAGGUAGUUGGUGGGGUAAAGGCCUACCAAGCCUGCGAUCUGUAGCUGGUCUGAGAGGACGGCCAGCCACACUGGCACUGACACACGGGCCAGACUCCUACGGGAGGCCGCAGUAGGGAAUCUUCCGCAAUGGGCGAAAGCCUGAUCCAGCCAUGCCGCGUGAGUGAUGAAGGCCCUAGGGUUGUAAAGCUCUUUCACCGAUGAAGAUAAUGACGGUAGUCGGAGAAGAAGCCCCGGCUAACUUCGUGCCAGCAGCCGCGGUAAUACGGAGGGGGCUAGCGUUGUUCGGAAUUACUGGGCGUAAAGCGCGCGUAGGUGGUUCGUUAAGUUGGAUGUGAAAGCCCCGGGCUCAACCUGGGAAUUGCGCUUGUGACUGCAAGGCUGGAGUGCGGCAGAGGGGGAUGGAAUUCCGCGUGUAGCAGUGAAAUGCGUAGAUAUGCGGAGGAACACCGAUGGCGAAGGCAGCCCCCUGGGCCUGUACUGACGCUCAUGCACGAAAGCGUGGGGAGCAAACAGGAUUAGAUACCCUGGUAGUCCACGCCCUAAACGAUGUCAACUAGUUGUUCGUAGAGGUAACUCUGUGAGUAACGCAGCUAACGCGUGAAGUUGACCGCCUGGGGAGUACGGC